ACGGUGGUUGUAUUUUUAACCAUAUCUACAGCUGAUAGCAGUCAUAUAUGCAACCAAAAAUAUAACUUUGAAAAUAUCUGUUGAAAAUUACAUUUAAUUGCAUAAUAAGUUGUAAGUGAUUGCAAAUGACGAAAAAUGAGUGUCACUGCGGUGCUGGUAUUAAUAACACAAAAGUAACCACAAAAUCACCUAAAACCAAUCGUCAUACCCAGAAUUAUCAAUACUAAAAGCAACCAUCAAUUCUCUCCAAACACUUCUUCACCGCAUCCAAACAAACCUUCAAAAUCACCACUCUCCGUCGUCUCCAUCCCCUUCCAAACUCGUCUCUUCUCACAGACUCAAAACCUUCAAAAUCGAACAAUCCAAAUCACCAUAAAAGACGUAGAUUGCCAAAGAGAAUUCACUAAAUCACUUGCUUCUUAGCUCUUUACUUGGCUUAGUUUCUUGUUUGAAAAUCUUAGGAGUUAGGACAUAUGGUUGUGACAUUUCUAAGUUGACCGUUCAGAAUGAGGACUAUGAGGUUGUGGUUUCAAGGAAUGGGAAGAGAGAUAGUGUAGAGAACGAGGAGUUUGUAUUUGAUAGGAUUGGAAGAGAACUGUGGUGUAAUCGAGUUGGGAAAGAGACAUAUAAUUUUUUGAGACGGUGGAAAUUUCAAGUGUUAAAUAUUUUAUUUUUCCAAAAUAUAAAUAUCAUAUUUUGAUUGCAUCUUUUUAAUCAUAAUUUGACUGUAUAUUCGUAGCUAUUUUCAUAAGAUUAUAAAAUUACAAAAUAACUUACACAAAGUAGUAUGUUUGAUAAACACACUAAUUUAUAUACAUUUGGAAUUAGACAAAUAUCAAACUAAAAUUCCAACGACUUUAAAAAACGUCCAUAAAUAAAUUCAUAACAUUGAGUUUACAUGACCCUGCCCCA
rnacentral:lncRNA from 1 species